UCGAACGCGACUGAGGCUUCGGCCUCAGUUGAGUGGCGAACGGGUGAGUAACACGUGGGUGACCUACCUUCGAGUGGGGGAUAACGUCCCGAAAGGGACGCUAAUACCGCAUAACAUCCUUCCUUUGAACAGGAGGAGAUCAAAGCCGGGGAUCGCAAGACCUGGCGCUUGAUGAGGGGCCCGCGCCUGAUUAGCUAGUUGGUGGGGUAACGGCUCACCAAGGCGACGAUCAGUAUCCGGCCUGAGAGGGCGGACGGACACACUGGGACUGAGACACGGCCCAGACUCCUACGGGAGGCAGCAGUGGGGAAUUGUUCGCAAUGGGCGCAAGCCUGACGACGCAACGCCGCGUGGAGGAUGAAGGUCUUCGGAUUGUAAACUCCUGUUGCUCGGGACGAAUAGCUCCAACCUAAUACGUUGGAGUCUGACGGUACCGAGUGAGGAAGCCCCGGCUAACUCUGUGCCAGCAGCCGCGGUAAUACAGAGGGGGCAAGCGUUG
rnacentral:rRNA from 1 species